GCACCGGUGGUGUCUGGGACACACUGCCCUACAGUAAUCCUGUCUUUUCGUAACUCCGGUGGAGACGGGUUCGAUUCCCGGCUGGUGCA